UACGGAGGGUGCGAGCGUUGUCCGGAAUCAUUGGGCGUAAAGGGCGCGUAGGUGGCCCGGUCAGUUCGUGGUGAAAGCGCGGGGCUCAACCCUGUGUCGGCCAUGAAUACUGCCGCGGCUGGAGCACUGUAGAGGCAGGCGGAAUUCCGGGUGUAGCGGUGGAAUGCGUAGAGAUCCGGAAGAACACCGGUGGCGAAGGCGGCCUGCUGGGCAGUUGCUGACACUGAGGCGCGACAGCGUGGGGAGCAAACAGG
rnacentral:rRNA from 1 species